GAUGAACGCUGGCGGCGUGCCUAAUACAUGCAAGUCGAGCGAAAGGACGAGAAGCUUGUGCCCUUGAUGUUAGCGGCGGACGGGUGAGUAACGCGUGGAUAACCUACUUAUAAGACUGGGAGAACAUCGGGAAACAGGUGCUAAUACCGCAUAAUACUUUGAACCGCAUGGUUCAAGAGUGAUAGACGCCUUUGCCGCUUCAAAUAGAUGGUGCCGGGCUGGAUAAGCUAGUUGGUAAGGUAACGGCCUACCAAGGCAACGUAGCGUAGCUGACCUGAGAGGAUGAUCGGCCACACUGGAACUGAGACACGGUCCAGACUCCUACGGGAGGCAGCAGUGGGGAAUCUUGGACAAUGGGCGAAAGCCUGACGCAGCAACACCGCGUGGGUGAUAAAGGUCUUCGGGUCGUAAAACCCUUUUGUUGGGAAAGAAAAGCUGUAGAUUAAAAUGCCCAUGUCCUGACGGUACCUAAACAGAAAGUCACGGCUAACUACGUG
rnacentral:rRNA from 1 species